rnacentral:rRNA from 1 species
UACGUAGGGUGCGAGCGUUUGUCCGGAAUUAUUGGGCGUAAAGAGCUCGUAGGCGGUGUGUCGCGUCGGCCGUGAAAACCUGGGGCUCAACCUCGGGCCUGCAGCCGAUACGGGCAUCACUGGAGUUCGGCAGGGGAGACUGGAAUUCCUGGUGUAGCGGUGAAAUGCGCAGAUAUCAGGAGGAACACCGGUGGCGAAGGCGGGUCUCUGGGCCGAUACUGACGCUGAGGAGUGAAAGCGUGGGGAGCGAACAGG